CCGGGGAGCCGGGCAGCCGCGUCAGGCCUUGGGAAACCGAGGCAUGCCGAGGAAAGUCCGGGCUCCGCGAAACAAGGGUGGCGGGUAACGCCCGCCGGACGCAAGUCCAGGGAAAGUGCCACAGAAAGCAAACCGCUAACCGGAGCAAUCCGGCAGCAAGGGUGAAAGGGUGCGGCAAGAGCGCACCGCGCGGCUGGUAACAGUCGCGGCACGGCAAACCCCACCCGGAGCAAGACCGAAUAGGGGCUGCGCGCCGCAAGGCGGGUCGGUUUCGGACCCAUGCAGCCCGGGUUGGUUGCUGGAGCGGCGCAGCAAUGCGUCGCCGAGAGGAAUGGCUGCCCCCGCACGGCAGGUCCCCCUGGGGAUACCGCGGGCGGGACAGAACCCGGCUUACAGGCUCCCCGGCAAA
rnacentral:RNase_P_RNA from 1 species